ACUGAACCAGAAUUCUGUACUCCCAUGAAAAUGACCGAGGCAUACAUGGAGCCCAUGGCAUUGAACAAGUCCUGUUGAUUAUCCCUGCAAGAGUACAAUAUCUUCAGUGUACUGCAAGUUUGUGACAAAUGGGGACUAGAGGCAAGCAAAACACUGUGUGAGGAAGGUCUGCGAGUAUUCCGUUGGAAAGGAUAGGUCAGUUGAACCUUCAGGAGAAUCAACAUCAGCAGGUAAUCUGAGCCAUGCGGAGAAUGCAAGGGACUCGUAGACGGUAACAUUUGGUGAAUGGAUGUCACUCUGCUCACAAUAUCCUGAUACACGAGCAAAAGUUUCUUGCUUCUUUGGGUAACCUGAUAUGGUAAUGUUGCCCUCAAUGUAUCCGCUGGUCUUCCUCCCAGCCAACACAUCCAUCAGUGUUGUCUUGCCAGCACCACUGACACCCAUUAGAGCAAAAUUGUCGGCUGAUUGCUAUCAAAUGCUGCAGGAAGCGUAAUUUGUAAGAUUCAAUUUGAUCUUUGUUUGUGCCAUAUUUAUUUUUAAUAUCCUUUUAAAUGCAAUAUAGUUUUUUACUCACGCUUGAGGAAUGUGAGGCAGACGGUGUAGAGGAUAUUGAAUAGCAGCACAUAUCCAAGCAAGGCACCCACACCAAUCCAGUACCAUUUUGCCUCAGGAAAUAGACCACGAGAUUCCAGAACUAGCUUUCCGAGUGGUUCUGUGGAACCGGGGAGUAUCUGUUACAAAGAAGUAUCUGAGGAAUCCACCCAAAAGCAUAAAAAUCAGAAUGCCGAAUGAACCAAUGGUGCUUGCAACAACCUGAUGCCUUGCAAGCCCAGCAAUGAAGCGGAACAAUCCAGAUGAUGCCUCAUUCAUUAGUAAGAGGAGCAGGAACUGUCUAAAAAGUCUGCAGCAUCAUGUUUUUUAAAAUGUGUGCAGCAGGAUGGCUCGUGCUCUUGUCAAAUGGGACUGCCAACUCAUUUCGUAUAGCCUCACCAAUGUGGAAAGAUUGAAAUGCUUCUGCAAACUCCUUCACAGGAACAUAUCGGUGAUAAAACAACAGCUUGUGCCAGCUAAAAGGUGAUGUAAGAUUUGCAUCAAACCUUCAUGUAGAUGUCUGUUUCUGGAUCUGAGAAAUUGACUGUCUCACGAACCGUCAACUCCCCCAUGUGCAGAUCAUGUUGGCUGACAUAUGCAGCUGAUCUCCGGGCCUCAAACUCGUCCAUUGUAUGCCCAUUGUAAGUUAUAUUCCCUGUUACCUUUUGUAAUUGCAG